GGCAUAAGCAUUCAGGGGCGUUGCUUUCCUGGCAGUGGCCCGCCCCAGUUCGAGCCGGUGCCUUACUGCGUCUCGCGAGAACUUAUGCAUUUUGGAGGCGGAACCCCGUCAGGAAAAGCGCACAAAACUGCUCUUAAGUCAUUGCAGAGCUACCGCUUCGGUUAGCCAGCCACGAAGUUCUCGCGAGAGUCGUCUCCUCGAUACCAAGUGAGGAAACUGGGGGACGCUGUGGGGAGGGGCGUGGGGCUGGAUCGCGCAGCGGCUGCUUCCUUUACCUUCCUCCCAUGGUCUCCUUCCGGUUCUCGAUGCUUCUCUGAGCCUAAGGGUUUCCGCCACUCGUUCACCCUCCCCCCAGCUCAUGAUCCUCCUCCCUCCCCCGCCCUCCUGGUCCAAUCUCCGAUCUGUUUAGUAAGAAGGUGCUGUUCCGAGAAGAAGGAAAAGGGCUUGACACGUAUUCACUCGGCCCCGGACGUGGGAAGCAAGCCGUCUGGCUUCGGCCUCACAUCGGUCUUGUGCUCGGGACGGCGGCGUUGGCGGACUGAUCCGCGGCGGUGAAGAGGCAGGAGGAGGGGGAGGGGCGGAGCGUGGCAGCUGGCAGUAGUUCCGUCAGAGCGGACAUCUUGUGGCUGUGUCGUGCGCGUGAGCCCCGUAGGGCCGGGGAGGCACCAGCUGCCGCGCGGGGAGGAGGCCGAGGCCGCAGCUUGAGGGAGGCCCCGGCCCCUCUGUACGCGUGGGUGUGGACGGCUAGGGCAGGGAAGGGAGGCCGGCCCAGUGGCCGGCCGGGUAAGAGGGGCAGUGCGGGACCUGGGCGGCUUGAGCGGCCAGCCUAUUGGGUGCGGUGGGUUAGGGUGGGAAGGUUGGGGAAGCCGCGGCCUCUCCUGCUGGAGGAGGAGGGGGAAUGGGCGCGUCCUCGCGCCUAAGCCGGAGCCUCAGGGACAGCGCGGGCGCGUGGUGGAGGUGGCUGGGCGGGCGCGCGCGGGAGCGCGCUGGAAGGCGGAGUGAGUGUACGGUGGCGUCAGGGGUGACACAGAAUAGCUCGCUGCGAGGAUAGCAAUACACAUCAAGUCUCCCUUCCUUUAUUUCCUUCCUUUUCCCGGCCGCACCUUUGGACAGAAACCGAAAGCAGCCCGGCGUCCGUCCGGAGUCUUAUGCUUCCCCCUCCCCCCUUGCCUUUCUUUGCCCUAGUGACGCCGGUAUAGCGCCGACUAGGCCCCGGCUCCUCCUCUGCUGGGCUCCGGACCCUGCCCCGCACCCACCCCUUUCUCCUACGCCUCUUCCUCUCCCACCCGGGUCUCUUCCUUUCUAGAGGCCGGGAAGUUAAACUUGUAGCCACCACCUCCGCUCUUCCCGUCACCCUCGCCCCCACUUCGGGCCGAAAGCACGGUACAGAGGCUGUUGGUGGCUUUGCCACGCCACCCCACCCACCCCGGAUCGCGGCUGUCUUAAGGGACCUGGAUUCAUCAGGGGCUCUUCGGGGCCUGUGCGAGUGCUGAUCUGCUCCGUUUUUGCAAAAGGCGCCUGUGUCUGGCAGAGCUGGUGUGAGACGAGACAAUCCUGCCCCGCCGCCGGGAUAAUCAAGAGUUUUGGCCGGACCUUUGAGCAUACACCGAGAGAGUGAGGAGCCAGACGACAAGCACACACUAUGGCGCUGAAACGGAUUAAUAAGGAACUUAGUGAUUUGGCCCGUGACCCUCCAGCACAAUGUUCUGCAGGUCCAGUUGGGGAUGAUAUGACUUAUCUAUGUGGGAUAUUGAGUAUCCAUUGAAAUGGAUUUGUUCAGCCAUUUACAUUAAUGAGCAUUUAAAUGCAACAGAUAUCAUUUCAGGUGACUUAACAUGAAUGAAUAAAAGUCAAUGCUAUUGG
rnacentral:lncRNA from 1 species